rnacentral:lncRNA from 1 species
AAUCAUUCAGCAGCCCGAGCUAGCAUCCACAGUUUAUCUGGCAUUCAACCUUAGUUUUGUAGCAAAGACCGCCCUCAAUGAUACAACACCAGGGGAGAGGGCUACGGGGUAUUAAUUCUUUGUUCUUUAAGCAGAAUCUGCACGGUGGCACAAUAAUCUUCUCCUCAUCCACCAUCUCGUCCAUGGAUCGGCCUAUGAAUCAAGAAAAAACUUUGUUUUNNNNNNNNNNNNNNNNNNNNNNNNNNNNNNNNNNNNNNNNNNNNNNNNNNNNNNNNNNNNNNNNNNNNNNNNNNNNNNNNNNNNNNNNNNNNNNNNNNNNAGCUCCUCAAAAGCUUGCCCCACUAGCUCAGUGGGAGGGGGGUCAAUCCAAACAACCCAAUCACACUUACCAGGAAGCUAUUAAAUCAGAGUUCACAUAAUUAGGUGAAAUUCAUAACUUUGCAAUAAAUCGAUGAAAACAGAGUACCAAAUGAUGUUUUGAGGAAUUACAUCGAGUGGACAAGCCAUAAACCUUCUUCCCGUGCUUGCUCCACCCCAAGAAACACGGCGAGCAGGAAUUAGCCCAUGCCCCGGGCAAUGGUGAUUCGAGCGCUCCUCAAGGCCAUAGAAACUUGGAUUGGGAAUGAAAAAUUCAGAUUGGAACUGCACAAUCCCGCAGCCAGCCACCUACGAGCCAGAAAUGCGCAUAUUACGGCCCAUCCCGCAAAACCCUAGAUGAGAAAUCCCCAAAUCCAAUGUCAACAAAAAAUCCAAAUUGACUUACCUCACAGUCUGCGGAGGAGCUUGCACACGACAUUGCGGACGUACACAUGGACGUGCCCGAGCGGUGAAAACGGGGACGGGGCAUGACGGACUGCUAAAUCUAGACAAAUCUCGGGAAAAAUGGAGCUCCGAGGUCGAGCUUCGAGAGGAGAAAGCUUAACUAUUGUGGCUCGGGCAUUUCAUCGAACACCUCAUCUGCAUAGGAGGUAAGCUAGAGCACCCAAAUGCCCUCCCCUUGCUGGCCAGAAAAAACAGAGUGCUCUGCCGCGGCGAUGAGUAUAUAUAGGCAAAUUAUUUGUCCCGGUUCGUGGCAUAAACCGGGGCUAAAGCCCCCCUUCUAAACCGGUUCAAGGCAUGAACCGGUACCAAUGGAUGUGGGCCAGGAGGGCGGCCCAUUGUUCCCGGUUCGUGCCUAGAACCGGGACAAAUGGGUCCACCUGAACCGGGACCAAUGCCCACGAGGCCCCGGCCGACCCCCUGGGCUCAUGAACCGGGACUAAUGCCCCCCAUGGGUCCCGGUUCGUGAAGAACCGGGACUAAUGGGCUGGCCAGGCCCGAACCAAAGCCCUAUUUUCUACUAGUGUUAGAUGCAGAGGUCCUAGAUGUCAAGGGAGAAUACUAUUGCUUGUCGGUGCAAUUUUAGUGAAAUGUUAAAGUGUAAAAAAGAUGCAUAUGUGCAUGUAACUUGUGUCUACAUUUUGUAAUAUAUUCGACAAAGCAUGANNNNNNNNNNAUCCUAGUUGUCAAGGUAGAAUACUAUUGCCUGUCGGUGCAAUUUUACUGAAAUGUUAAAGUGUAAAAAAGAUGCAUAUUUGCAUGUAACUUGUGUCUACAUUUUGUAAUAUAUUCGACAAAGCAUGACGGAAGAGAUGGUGUAAUAUAUUCGUGACGAUGAUGUACAAUAUAGUUGUUCCUUUAUUGUUGUGUGUGUACCAUCCAAUUUAGUGCAACACAAGAAUAAAAAAUUGCACAAAACAAAUAAAUGAGAAAAUAGGGGCAGCAAAAUAGCCCCCAUCCAAUUUAGUGCAAAAUCCUAAACCCUAAAAAGUGCUCAAAAAAAUACAGCAAAGCAAUAGCCCUGGUUCGUAAUGAGAUACGGGACUAAUACCCGCCCCCACCCUCGCUCCCAGCCCCGCCACGUGAAGGACCAUUAGCCCCUGUUCGUGACCGAACCCGAGCUAGCAUUAGCCCCGCUUUGUUAGUCCCGGUUCGUGAGUUGGGUCUAAUGGCCCAAACGAACCGGGGCAGAAACCUCAUUCUCUACCAGUGGUGCCCGUUAUCACACAGUAUUCAGCCCAAAUUUGUGCCUUAUGUACAGAGCGGCAUACACUUCUAUUUUUCUGGCACACAAGUUUAUUUUUGAACUAUUUGUGAUACCUACCUCUCACAUAGUUUAUCAACAUAGUUUGCGAUAGAAGUUCCGUCUUUGGACUAAUCUGCAGUUGUGAUCCAUUUCAAAUUCAAACAAAAGAUAUUCAAAUUAUUCAAACAANNNNNNNNNNGAUGUACAGAGCGCCAUACACUUCUAUUUUUCUGGCACACAAGUUUAUUUCUGAACUAUUUGUGAUACCUGCCUCCCACAUAGUUUAUCAAAAUGGUUUGCGAUAGAAGUUCCGUCUUUGGACCAAUCUGCAGUAGUGAUCCAUUUCAAAUUCAAACAAAAGAUAUUCAAAUUAUUCAAACAAGAAGGAAAAUUUCAAACUAUUCCAUUAAAGAUCCAAACAACAGUAUUAGCUCUAAUUUAUCAUAUGGAAUCUAAAAGGUGUUACAACGCCCGACACCGACCAAUGACGGUGGCCCCGGGCGCACCCGGUGGUUCAUCCGUCGACCGUCCAGUCGGGUUGCCUAUGUCCAAGUUGUCCUGGAAGAUUGGACAGCUCGGAUUGGUCCCAAAAGGCUCCCAGACCACGCCAUCUAGCAACGAAUUGUUGGGAGGUUGUUUCUCCGUCGAGCAGCCCGGGAAGGCGGAUACAUUAGCACACUUUAUAGUGGUAUUGUGCUAUACACCAGUCAUCUCGCACGACUAUGUAAAGGAAUCCCCCGAUGAGCUUUCGCCACUUUGUUUUGACACCAUCGGCACUUCAUUAUUUCCCAAGUCACAAAAUCAUGGGCUCAUUCUUCAAGUUCGUUGAAUCAAAAGGGGAUGACUAUGCCUCUCAACACNNNNNNNNNNNNNNNNNNNNNNNNNNNNNNNNNNNNNNNNNNNNNNNNNNNNNNNNNNNNNNNNNNNNNNNNNNNNNNNNNNNNNNNNNNNNNNNNNNNNAAUAAGUAAUUAGAAUUUUGUUCAAAACAUUAAAAGAAAAAAGAAUUAUCAUAAAAGAAAAUAAAUAAGUAAUUAGAAAUUUGUUACAAACUUUAAUAACAAAAAGAAUUAUCGUAAAAGAAAAUAAAUAAGUAAUUAGAAACAAAAAGGAAAGCAAAAAACAUGAUUUUUUUUUAAAAGUGCCACCUACAAAGCCAUCACGGCCUGCGUACGACUAGAAAUCCAUUACUAGGGCCAGGAUGCAAGCCCGCAAUAGGCCCAAUAGGCCCACAAGCACAGAGAGUGAUUUUAGGACCGUAAGCCUGCAGUAGAGAUGAUCUGGAAGUGGUUGGUUCGGCAGGGCUUAUAAACCACUCCGAGCACCUCUCGGCUAGCGAGGUGGGACUAAACAUAACACCGCACCGCGCAAGGCCUUUGGUCCCGGUUGGUGGCGCCAAUCGGAACUAAAGGGAGGCAUUGGUACCGCUUGGUGCCACCAACCGUGACCAAAGGCCUGUGCUUCCCGCCCUUUGGGCUGCUGAAAAGAGACCUUUGGUCCCGGUUUGUGCAACCAACCGGUACCAAUGCCUCUGCUUCCCGGCCCGUCGGGCUGCUGAAAAGAGACGUUUGGUCCCGGUUGGUGCCACCAACCGGGACUAAAGGUGGGGCUAUAUAAGCGACAGUUUAGAACUUUUGAUCUCUCCCCCUCUCUUCAUUCGAUCCCGACGCCGCCAGGCUGCCCGUCCGUCUCCGCCUCGCCGUCGCCGUUGUCGCCCCACGCCGUCCCGCGCCGCCCCGACGCCGUCGCCGCCCCCCGCCCCGCGCCCCAUGCCCCGCGACGNNNNNNNNNNNNNNNNNNNNNNNNNNNNNNNNNNNNNNNNNNNNNNNNNNNNNNNNNNNNNNNNNNNNNNNNNNNNNNNNNNNNNNNNNNNNNNNNNNNNGUCGCCUAGCCUGGCCCGGCCCAUCUCCCCGAGUCGUCCCCUCCCUCGCGCCAGUAGGAGCAGGAGGUGGCCGCCGCCUUCUCCGGCGCGGCCAUGCACGUGUGCGCCUGCCUGGCCGCCGCCUCGCGCUGGCAAGGCCGGGGAUAAGCUCCCCGAGGCCACCGCUAUCCAUUCCCAGCGUCGGUUCCUUCCCUUCCUCUCGGAUCUCUCCUCCCCCUCCUGCCGCCAUUGGAGCCGAGCAAAGCUCGAGCUGCCCGUGCCCCUAGCCUUAGCCUCCUCUUGCUGAGCACGCCGUUAGCUCCGCCUCGUCGAGCCGGUCCUCCCUGCAGAAGCCGAAGUCUCCCCGAGCUCCGCAUCGCCCCCAACGCCAUCGUCUUCCACCUCCGGCUGCCGGACCUCUCCCGUCGAUUCGCUCCCUCCGGCGCACCCCCGAUCCCCUCAACAACACCAUCGGAACCGCCGUGAGCUCGUCAUUGUUUCCCCCCUCGCCCCACGCUCUUCCGUGCAUCAUGGCCCCGUUCCCCACCAAGGCCAAGAGAUCCUCGCCGCCGGUCAUGUCGUCGCCGUCGCUGUGGUGUCACGCGCUCGAGCUAGGGAUCGAGCUCUUGGAGCCUCCAGGAGUGUGAUGAGCCCCUCAGCUGUCCUCCCCGUGCCCUAGAGCCAUCAACUGCGGGAGGCCGAGCUUCGGUCGCCACUUCGGCUCGUCGCCGGUGCCUCUCCCGGCGACCCUAGCCUCCCCUGAUGCCCCUGCCAGAUCGGCUACUUCGCCAGCGUCCCGUAGCUGCAAACCACGUUCGAAUUGGUGCUGUGUAGCGCCGUUUAGGUCGUCUCCGGCGAGCCCUCCGCCGCGGGCUUGGUCGCCGGCAACCACCCUCCGGUGGGCGUCGACGUGGCCGACCAUUAGGGCGUAAUUGCCCUCCCCUCAAUCACUGCCAGAGGGCCCCACGCCUGGUCAAACCCCAAUUAGGGGCUGGNNNNNNNNNNAUCUCGUAGCUGCAAACCGCGUUCGAAUUGGUGCUGUGCAGUGCCGCUUAGGUCGUGUCCGGUGAGCCCUCCGCCGCGGGCUUGGUCGCCGGCGACCACCCCCGGUGGGCGUCGACGUGGCCANNNNNNNNNNNNNNNNNNNNNNNNNNNNNNNNNNNNNNNNNNNNNNNNNNNNNNNNNNNNNNNNNNNNNNNNNNNNNNNNNNNNNNNNNNNNNNNNNNNNUUUUGAGAUUCUAUCUCUAGGACAUGAUUUGAUGACAAAGGAAUCCCCCCUUUAAAGGAAUCCCCCUUCAAGGACCAACAUUUUCCUGGUGGUGAUGAUUUAGGUUUUGUUAACAUGGAUAUGUUUUUUCUUGGUGGUAAGAAGGUAAUAGAAUGAUGCAUUUAUAAUAGGUGGUAUUCCAAGCGAAACAGCUAUGUGAGGGAGUGGUCCAUCAAGGAUGGACACAUGGAAUGGCGAAUCAUACUAAUGUGAUAGUAGUUUUCUUGAUGAUUCCUAAAAUACGUGAAAUAGUCUGAAUCCUGAUGAAAUGUAGUGCUUUAUGGUAUAGGAAAACCUUACUAUUGGCCUCCUAACAAAAUAAUUUUGUUCUUUUGGUAAAACCUACUUUCAGAUAUCGAAGAACUUUUAAAGCAUCUAACUAUACUCACGAAAACCUAUAUCAAAAUUCAUGUUAGUACAUUAGUGAAAUUAUCAUUUCAGUAUGGAAUGUCAUCUCAAAAUACAGAAGUGUAUAUUUUUUGGUGAGUUAAUAUGACCAUAAGUACAUAAAAUNNNNNNNNNNCAAGGAUCCAACUAUACUCACAAAACCCAUAUCAAAAUUCAUGUUAGUACAUUACCGAAAUUAUCAUUUCAGUAUGGAAUGUCAUCUCAAAAUACGGAAGUGUAUAUUUUUUGGUGAGUUAAUAUGACCAUAAGUACAUAAAAUAGCAUGACGAUAAGAGAUCCAUGAAAAAGAACUUGAAAAGGCAUGAAAACGGUCACUUAAGUAUUGAUGAGGUAACAGUUAGAUACAAAAUGCUGAUCAGCUACCACAUCACAUGCCAUGUCAUCAAGUGGCACAAGCAUGUGUUAUUUUUUUAUUUCCACAAAGCACCCUGGUAUUAUUUGUUGGAAAUAUGCCCUAGAGGCAAUAAUAAAUUAGUUAUUAUUAUAUUUCUUUGUUGAUGAUAAUCGUUUNNNNNNNNNNUGCACGACGAUAAGAGAUCCAUGAAAAAGAACUUGAAAAGGCAUGAAAAUGGUCACUUAAGUAUUGAUGAGGUAACAGUUAGAUACAAAACGCUGAUUAGCUACCACAUCACAUGCCAUGUCAUCAAGUGACACACGCAUGUGUUAUUUUUUUCUUUCCACAAAGCACCCUGGUGUUAUUAUGUAGAUGCAUUAUGAGGUCUUGUGUUUCCCAUUCCACAAUCNNNNNNNNNNNNNNNNNNNNNNNNNNNNNNNNNNNNNNNNNNNNNNNNNNNNNNNNNNNNNNNNNNNNNNNNNNNNNNNNNNNNNNNNNNNNNNNNNNNNCGCCGCCGUGGAGAGAGAGAGUGGUCGGGGUGAGAGAGAGAGAGAGAGAGUGAGCGAGGUGGGGGGUAACGGCCGUUAUAGGGAGGCCCCUUUGCCGUCCGCCCCCCGACGGCAAAGGGACGUAAGGCAGACGGCAAAGGGCCGUACGGCAGACUGCAAAGGCACGCGGACGGCAAAGGCCCCCGGAUUUCGGACACGGCAGGCAUGGGGCCCACGCGUCCCCUUUGCCGUCUGCCCUGGGGCUCUUUGCCGUCUGCUGGCAGACGGCAAAGGACCCACACAUGGCAAAUAGUAUUUUUGCCAUGUGUCAGUUCUUUGUCGUCUGUAUUUUAGUUAUAAGACCAUGAAAUUGAACAGCAUUUGAACUGAACUCUAAAAGGGUUCCAAGUUGGCAUGGUAUCAUCAUUUCACCCACAUAGCAUGUGCGAUAAAGUUGAGAGGGUUAUGAAAAAAACUGGAUGCACUUCGUGUACAAAACGGACAAUCUCUUUCGAAGUAUUAGGGUUUAAUAUGAAAACUCCUCUGUUACAAAGGGAUUUCAUUUUUUUGAACUUAUUUGAACUCCAUAGUUUUUCUGUGUUCAAAAUGAACCAUUCAAAGCCACAUCAUCAAUUUACAACCCUUUCUAACUUCAUUUUUUAUUUUUCACGCAUUUAUUGAUUAUUUUGAGUUAUAAGACCAUGAAAUUGAAAAGCAUUUGAAAUGAACUCCGAAAAGGUUCCAAGUUGGCAUGGUAUCAUCAUUUCACCCACAUCGCAUGUGCGGGAAAGUUGAGAGGGUUACGGCAAAAACUGGAUGCACUUCGUGUGCAAAAUGGACAAUCUCUUUCGAAGUAUCACGGUUUCAUACGGAAACUCGUCUGUUACAAAGGGAUUUCAUUUUUUGAACUUAUUUGAACUCCAUAGUUUUUCUAUGUUCAAAAUGCACCAUUCAAAGCCACAUCAUCAAUUUACAACCCUUUGUGACUUCAUUUGUUAUUUUUCAUGCAUUUACUGAUUAUUUUGAGCUAUGAGACCAUGAAUUUGAAAAGCAUUUGAAAGGAACUCUGAAAAGGUUCCAAGUUGGCAUGGUAUCAUUAUUUCACCCACAUAGCAUGUGCGAGAAAGUUGAGAGGGUUACGGCAAAAACUGGAUGCACUUCGUGUACAAAAUGGACAAUCUCUUUCGAAGUAUCAGGGUUUCAUACAGAAACUCGUCUAUUACAAAGGGAUUUCAUUUUUUUUGAACUUAUUUGAACUCCAUAGUUUUUCCGUGUACAAAAUGCACCAUUCAAAGCCACAUCAACAAUUUAAAACCCUUUCUGANNNNNNNNNNCAGGGUUUCAAACGGAAACUCGUUUGUUACAAAGGGAUUUCAUUUUUUGAACUUAUUUGAACUCCAUAGUUUUUCUGUGUUCAAAAUGCACCAUUCAAAGCCACAUCAACAAUUUAAAACCCUUUCUGACAUCAUUUAUUAUUUUUCAUGCAUUUACUGAUUAUUUUGAGCUAUAAGACCAUAAAAUUGAAAAGCAUUUGAAAUGAACUCUGAAAAGGUUCCAAGUUGGCAGUGGUGACAAUUUUAACAUAACACAUGAUAUCCAUUACAUCCAGGGCACAACAUUACAUUUGUUCAAGUGCACAAUAGUGCACACAUGAUAGAUUUACAUCUAGGGCACAACACACUAGCAGAAACAUAACACACACACUGCNNNNNNNNNNUAAUUUUAACACAACACAUGAUAUCCAUUACAGCCAGGGCACAACAUUACAUUUGUUCAAGUUCACAACAGUGCACACAUGAUAGAAUUACAUCUAGGGCACAACACACUAGCAGAAACAUAACACACACACUGCCACUUAAUUGGUUUGCUUAGAUCAAGUAGAAACUAAACUAGCCACAAUGAUGAUGCCAAGAACAAAGAGAAAACCCAUUGUUUCCAUGAGCUCAUUCCUUUUCUGCAACUUCAAUUGCAUUUUAUUUUUUUAAUUGUUCAGAUCCAUAACCUUCUUCUCCAUCCUACUAGCUUUGAUCCAACUAUGUUCAAGGACACCAUGGAGCUCCUCAAAAGCUUGCCCCACUAGCUCAGUGGGAGGGGGGUCAAUCUAAACAACCCAAUCACACUCACCAGUAAGCUGUUAAAUCAGAGUUCACAUAAUUAGCUGAAAUUCAUAACUUUGCAAUAAAGCGAUGAAAACAGAGUACCACAUGAUGUUUUGAGGAAUUACAUCGAGUGGACAACCCAAAAACCUUCUUCCCAUUCUUGCUCCACCCCAAGAAACACGGCGAGCAGGAAUUAGCCCAUGCCCCGUGCAACGGUAAUUCGAGCGCUCCUCAAGGCCGUAGAAACUUGGAUUGGGAAUGAAAAAUCCAGAUUGGAACUGCACAGUCCCGCAGCCAUCCACCUACGAGCCAGAAAGGCGCAUAUUACGGCCCAUCCCGCGAAACCCUAGAUGAGAAAUCCCCAAGUCCAAUGUCAACAGAAAAUCCAAAUUGACUUACCUCACAGUCUGCGGAGGAGCUUGCACACGNNNNNNNNNNGGACGUUCCCAAGCGGUGAAAACGGGGACGGGGCGUGACAGACCGCUAAAUCUAGACAAAUCUCGGGAAAAAUGGACCUCCGAGGUCAAGCUUCGAGAGGAGAAAGCUUAACUAGUGUGGCUCGGGAAUUUCAUCGAACACCUCAUGUGCAUAGGAGGUAAGCUAGAGCACCCAAAUGCCCUCCCCUCGCCGGCCAAAAAAAACAGAGUGCUCUGCCGCGGCGAUGGGUAUAUAUAGGCAAAUUAUUUGUCCCGAUUCGUGGCAUAAACCGGGGCUAAAGCCCCCCCUUCUAAACCGGUUCAAGGCAUGAACCGGUACCAAUGGAUGUGGGCCAGGAGGGCGGCCCAUUGGUCCCGGUUCGUGCCUAGAACCGGGACAAAUGGGUCCACACGAACCGGGACCAAUGCUCACGAGGCACCGGCCGCCCCCCUGGGCUCAUGAACCGGGACUAAUGCCCCCCAUGGGUCCCGGUUCGUGAAGAACCGGGACUAAUGGGCUGGCCAGGCCCGAACCAAAGCCCUAUUUUCUACUAGUGUUAGAUGCAGAGGUCCUAGAUGUCAAGGGAGAAUACUAUUGCUUGUCGGUGCAAUUUUAGUGAAAUGUUAAAGUGUAAAAAAGAUGCAUAUGUGCAUGUAACUUGUGUCUACAUUUUGUAAUAUAUUCGACAAAGCAUGACGGAAGAGAUGGUGUAAUAUAUUCGUGACGAUGAUGUACAAUAUAGUUAUUCCUUUAUUGUUGUGUGUGUACCAUCCAGUUUAGUGCAAAACAAGAAUUAAAAAUUGCACAAAACAAAUAAAUGAGAAAAUAGGGGCAGCAAAAUAGNNNNNNNNNNGUUCCUUUAUUGUUGUGUGUGUACCAUCCAAUUUAGUGCAACACAAGAAUAAAAAAUUGCACAAAACAAAUAAAUGAGAAAAUAGGGGCAGCAAAAUAGCCUCCAUCCAAUUUAGUGCAAAAUCCUAAACCAUAAAAAGUGCUCAAAAAAAAUACAGCAAAGCAAUAGCCCUGGUUCGUAAUGAGAUACGGGACUAAUACCCGCCCCACACCCUCGCUCCCAGCCCCGCCACGUGGAGGACCAUUAGCCCCGGUUCGGGACCGAACCCGAGCUAGCAUUAGCCCCCCUUUUUUAGUCCCGGUUCGUGAGUUGGGGCUAAUGGCCCAAACGAACCGGGGCAGAAACCUCAUUUUCUACCAGUGGNNNNNNNNNNCACCCUCGCUCCCAGCCCCGCCACGUGAAGGACCAUUAGCCCCUGUUCGUGACCGAACCCGAGCUAGCAUUAGCCCCGCUUUGUUAGUCCCGGUUCGUGAGUUGGGUCUAAUGGCCCAAACGAACCGGGGCAGAAACCUCAUUCUCUACCAGUGGUGCCCGUUAUCACACAGUAUUCAGCCCAAAUUUGUGCCUUAUGUACAGAGCGGCAUACACUUCUAUUUUUCUGGCACACAAGUUUAUUUUUGAACUAUUUGUGAUACCUACCUCUCACAUAGUUUAUCAACAUAGUUUGCGAUAGAAGUUCCGUCUUUGGACUAAUCUGCAGUUGUGAUCCAUUUCAAAUUCAAACAAAAGAUAUUCAAAUUAUUCAAACAANNNNNNNNNNGAUGUACAGAGCGCCAUACACUUCUAUUUUUCUGGCACACAAGUUUAUUUCUGAACUAUUUGUGAUACCUGCCUCCCACAUAGUUUAUCAAAAUGGUUUGCGAUAGAAGUUCCGUCUUUGGACCAAUCUGCAGUAGUGAUCCAUUUCAAAUUCAAACAAAAGAUAUUCAAAUUAUUCAAACAAGAAGGAAAAUUUCAAACUAUUCCAUUAAAGAUCCAAACAACAGUAUUAGCUCUAAUUUAUCAUAUGGAAUCUAAAAGGUGUUACAACGCCCGACACCGACCAAUGACGGUGGCCCCGGGCGCACCCGGUGGUUCAUCCGUCGACCGUCCAGUCGGGUUGCCUAUGUCCAAGUUGUCCUGGAAGAUUGGACGGCUCGGAUUGGUCCCAAACGGCUCCCAGACCACGCCAUCUGGCAACGAAUUUUUGGGAGGUUGUUUCUCCGUCGAGCAGCCCGGGAAGGCGGAUACGUUAGCACACUUUAUAGCGGUAUUGUGCUAUACACCAGUCAUCUCGCACGACUAUGUAAAGGAAUCNNNNNNNNNNAGCUCGGAUUGGUCCCAAAAGGCUCCCAGACCACGCCAUCUAGCAACGAAUUGUUGGGAGGUUGUUUCUCCGUCGAGCAGCCCGGGAAGGCGGAUACAUUAGCACACUUUAUAGUGGUAUUGUGCUAUACACCAGUCAUCUCGCACGACUAUGUAAAGGAAUCCCCCGACGAGCUUUCACCACUUUGUUUUGACACUAUCGACACUUCAUUAUUUCCCAAGUCACUAAAUCAUGGGCUCAUUCUUCAAGUUCGUUGAAUCAAAAGGGGAUAACUAUGCCUCUCAACACACACUAGCUCAAAAGUUUCGUCACAUGCAUAUGCGAAAAAGGGUUUGCCCCACUUUAUNNNNNNNNNNUGAGCUUUCGCCACUUUGUUUUGACACCAUCGGCACUUCAUUAUUUCCCAAGUCACAAAAUCAUGGGCUCAUUCUUCAAGUUCGUUGAAUCAAAAGGGGAUGACUAUGCCUCUCAACACACACUAGCUCAAAAAAGUUUCGUCACAUGCAUAUGCGAAAAAGGGUUUGCCCCACUUUAUUCUAUAAUGCAAUCGCAUGAAACAUCCAACAAAAUCAAAAGUUUUGGUUGAAAGAGGAAUGAAAGAGUCAACGCGACAAGAAAAGCAAAAUAAGUCUGGCUGGGGCACAACACAACAAACCCGGUAUGAAUGAGCUACAUGGCUAAUCCGGCUUAGGGGGUGAUGGAGGAGGCGGCGCUGAGAUGGAGGUCGCACGGGAGCAGAGGCCGGUGCUGUUAACAUCAACCAAACCCUCUUGUCGUCGCUUGCUAAGCGGCCGUCAUAGCUGAAAGAAGCCACGCAGUUUGGAGUUGUGUGUUGCAGAAUCACGUGCUCGAUUACUAGUUUGUUUCGUAUAUUCCACAGCUCCAUGCUAAAGCUCCUAUAGCCACCCACAAAAAGAGUCAGGGACCUCGCUGAAUAAGUCCGGGAGGUUAUCAUGAGUCCUGUUACCAUCCAAUGCAUAUUCAAUGCUGGAACUCGAGUUCUACUCCCUCGCGCGACAUUUUAUGCAAACUCGCUUUUGCAAAUUAGUCAACCACUAAGAGAUGGGCGUCAGGGCCACGUAUGACAUGCCGCAUGGUUGGGUGUGUCUCGUAGGUCAAUAACUAAUCCAUGUAACGGUUAAUUGCUUUGACGUCACGGCAAGGCUCUGUUUUGGCUGAGUAGUGGAGGGGGAAAUGAGGGAUGCUAGAUGUGUGAGACAAAAUUAGGCAGAAAUAAGUAAUGAUGGGCAUGAAAAUAGGAAACACGUUCUUAUUAAUGAUAUAAGGCAAACUGGUUGCCUAUGUUUUGACAAAAUAUAUAUUUCUUGUUCAUAAUCAUUCAGCAGCCCGAGCUAGCAUCCACAGUUUAUCUGGCAUUCAACCUUAGUUUUGUAGCAAAGACCGCCCUCAAUGAUACAACACCAGGGGAGAGGGCUACGGGGUAUUAAUUCUUUGUUCUUUAAGCAGAAUCUGCACGGUGGCACAAUAAUCUUCUCCUCAUCCACCAUCUCGUCCAUGGAUCGGCCUAUGAAUCAAGAAAAAACUUUGUUUUGUCAGCACAAACAUCAACGAUGGUGCAGAACAAUAUUGUACCAUGGGAUCUCGCCUUUUUCUGUAUUAGCAAGAGAGGUGCCAAGCAAUAUAACAAAAGAUAAAUUUGUAUUUUGCAUGCACAAUUAAUGCAAAAUGACAACUCUGUCUUAUAAACGACCACUUACAAUUUGAAUGUGCGGUAAGGCAUCCAAGCACCAGCAAAAGCAAAACAAGUCCACGAAUUUGAUUCGAGUUCUUCAUCACAAUUUUCUAAGUAUGAUA